ensembl:lncRNA SLAM family member 9-like
CUCCCUUCUUACAUCUGCAUUCUGGAUGUUUCCUAUGCAAGCUCAUAGGCCCAGACCGAGCCAGCAGAGAGGCCGCCGGCCAUGGACACCUGCUCAGAAGACCCCCACCUGGGCAGAGCCUCCUGGCUCCUGGGAUUCACCAGCCUUCUCCUCAGCGUCUGCGGCGCUCUGACCCAGAGCUCCAGAGUCCAUGGUUCCGGAGUGGAGGAUUCUGGAAUCCCUGAUUCUCUGAAGAGGACGCAAGGAGAUUCUGUGUUGUUUCAUGUGAUCACAAGUCCGGAAUUACCCCCAGGAGUCGAGCUGGAGAAGAUGUUUUGGGGCAUUGCAUUAGGGUCCAACUGGACAGCCAUACUGCAGGUCAUUCCAGGGUCAGAUGUUCCAGAAUGGUUCAACUUCCAGGACAAGUUUGAGAAGAGAGUCCAUGUCCCCAACACAACGACCCUGAGGAUUGACAACCUGACCCUUGAGGACAGCGGGCUGUACCGGGCUCGAGUCAGCUACAGUAACGGAAUACAAACUGACCAGGAUUUCCACCUGACGGUCUAUGAGCCCAUGCCCCUUCCCCAGAUCUGGGCCACGGUUCCAUCCCUCGCACGAGGCUGGUGCAACGUCACCGUGGAGUGUGACACCACGGGAACUAGGGAGAACCUGACCGUGUCCUGGGAGAGCGAGGGCCUCCCCAGGGAGCUGGAGCAGAGACCGGCCUCGGGACCAGCCCCCAACCCCUGGACCCUGGCUGUGACCCUGCCCCUGACCCAGCCCAGUGCCAGCCUCACCUGUGUGGUCAGCAACCAGGUGGACCAGAAAACUGUCACCUGGGGCCUUGGGGACGUCUGUGGCCACGGGACCUCCUGAUGAUGGAACUCACGUUGUGCACAUAAGAUUGAAAAUUGGAGCAGAUGUUUCCAGAAUCGAAGGCUCCCUUCCACCUGUGUGUCCCACGGCCCCUCUGCUCCAGGGGAGCCCGUCCUACUUUCUCACGGUUCACAGUGGCUACUGGGUUUCAUCGGAGCUACACUGUAUGGGUGACGUCGAUACAUCAGUCCUUUAUGGACCGCUAGGCAAUGUCAGAGCAAAUAUGUUUCCUGACCUCAGAAAUGUCCACAGCGAGGACCCCCGAGCCCAAGGGAUCCUGACGAGCAGGAGCCAAGAUUCCUCUCCCGUGAGGCCCCGCGGCAGCGCUGGACCUCAGCCUCCUUCCCACUCAUGCCUGCGAUCUCUCCAGGUCUCAGUUCAAGCGGCCCCCCACCUCACCCUCAGCCCUGUGGCCUUUGUCCCCCUCCCCCUCCUGCCCCUGGUUUAAGGUCUAACUUAAGUCCUUACUUGCCUCUCAGAUUUCCCAGACUGCUCCCUUGUCCACUCCCUAGUUAACGGUGUCAGUCCCCGGAAGGUUCCCUGUCCCGUCAUUCCCCCUGCUGGGAGAUAGCCCCAGAGGGAAGAGCUCUGAUUACCUCAGCAGUGACCCCCCAUGGGGCCUCAGACCAUAGCAGGGAGUAGGCACUGAGCUGCUCAUGACCUCAGGGCUCCUGGCUGGCCUGGUUAGGGUCUUGACACCUCCUGUUGGAGCCAUGGACGCUCCGGAGAAUCUGAGGAAAGCUGGAGAACACGUUCCUAGAGAAAGACUCACAGUUGCCAACAACACAGGAAAGAAGACCGUGAAAAUGAGGCCAUUCCCUUAGAAAAGGGGGUAAGGACUCAAAGCAGUAAUGACACAUCGUGGACAGGCAGUGCAGGGUCAGAUGGUCAAGGACAACAUCCACGGGGACAGGUGGUUCGUACCCAGGACAAGUGUCGGGUUCCUGUGAAGAGGCCCCUGAAGAUGGGUCCCAUCGGCUGCCUCCUCUCAGAGUUUCUU